rnacentral:rRNA from 1 species
UACGUAGGGAGCAAGCGUUGUUCGGAUUUACUGGGCGUAAAGGGCGCGUAGGCGGCGCGGUAAGUCACUUGUGAAAUCUCUGAGCUUAACUCAGAACGGCCAAGUGAUACUGCAGUGCUAGAGUGCAGAAGGGGCAAUCGGAAUUCUUGGUGUAGCGGUGAAAUGCGUAGAUAUCUGGAGGAACACCGGUGGCGAAGGCGGCAUCCUGGACCAACACUGACACUGAGGAGCGAAAGCCAGGGGAGCAAACGGG